rnacentral:rRNA from 1 species
CGGUUGAUCCUGCCGGAGGCUAUUGCUAUCAGGGUUUGACUAAGCCAUGCGAGUCGAGAGGUGAAAGACCUCGGCAUACUGCUCAGUAACACGUGGAUAAUCUGCCCUCAGGUGAGGAAUAAUCCCGGGAAACUGGGGCUAAUGCCUCAUAGGAGACAGGUGCUGGAAUGCUCUGUCUCCGAAAGGUCCGCCGCCUGAGGAUGAGUCUGCGUCCGAUUAGGUUGUUGUUGGGGUAACGGCCCAACAAGCCUUUGAUCGGUACGGGUUGUGGGAGCAAGAGCCCGGAGAUGGAUUCUGAGACAUGAAUCCAGGCCCUACGGGGCGCAGCAGGCGCGAAAACUUUACAAUGCGAGCAAUCGUGAUAAGGAAACCCUGAGUGCCUGUCAAUGCAGGCUGUUCUGGUGUCUAACACACACCAGGAGAAAGGGCGGGGCAAGACCGGUGCCAGCCGCCGCGGUAAUACCGGCUGCUCGAGUGAUAGCCACUUUUACUGGGCUUAAAGCGUUCGUAGCUUGGUCGUUAAGUCUCUGGGGAAAUCUUUUGGCUCAACCAAAAGGCGUCUCAGGGAAACUGACGAUCUUGGAACCGGGAGAGGUAAGACGUACUUCGGGGGUAGGAGUGAAAUCUUGUAAUCCCCGAGGGACGACCGAUGGCGAAGGCAUCUUACCAGAACGGCUUCGACAGUGAGGGACGAAAGCUGGGGGAGCAAACCGGAUUAGAUACCCGGGUAGUCCCAGCCGUAAACGAUGUGCGUUAGGUGUGUCAGUGACCACGAGUCGCUGAGGUGCCGAAGGGAAACCGUGAAACGCACCGCCUGGGAAGUACGGUCGCAAGGCUGAAACUUAAAGGAAUUGGCGGGGGAGCAC